rnacentral:lncRNA from 1 species
UAACAUUGGUUUCACUUUUUCUCACUUGGAUUUGGUAUUUUGAUAGGAGGAAGAGAGGAAGAAGAGAAUGGAAGAACUUUUAAUUCAGAGGCAAAAGAGAAUCGCUGCGAAGAGUUCUGGCAGUAAUGUAUCAAGUCCCUUGGCCUCCAAGAAAACUCCUACUGGAACCAAAACCGUGAAGACCUCGAAUGACAAGACACCAGCAGAAGCCGUGAAGGCUAAGCCGUUACUGAGAAGUUCCACCAUUGAGCGCCUUGCUGUUGCCAGGACAGCACCAAAGGAGCCACAACAAAAACCAGUAACCAAAAGAACAUCAAAACCUCUAGGAAACAAGACAGAGAAACCUCAAGACAAGAAACCUAGUAGAAAAAGUCCGGGACUUUCUCGUGACCCGAGUCUCGAAAUCAAGGAAACAGUGGAGGAAGAAUCACAGUCUUACUUGCCGGUGAAGCAAGUUGAUGAACUUCCUCCUGCUGCUUCUUCUGUUGAUGACUUCAAAGACAUUAAAGAGAUGCAUAGCUUGCCGAAUGAAACAAUCACCAAUCAUCAGAAAGUAGAAGAUCAGAGGAAGAUUGAUGAUGAGGAGAUAGUGAAGAAGACAUCCGUCUGCGAAGACAAGCAAGUCACUAACAACCUUUGUUCGGAGGAUGUUGAAGAAGUUAAGGCUUCACCGCCAAAACCACUGUCUCCAAAGAAGUCGGUGACGUUUUCAGAGACAAACAUGGAGGAGAAGUAUUUCUUCUCACCAACGGUGUCGGAGACUGACGUCUCGACGCCGCCGGCUACUGAAGGCUCUGAGUUCUUGAUUAAUGUUUCAGUUGGUUAUUGACUCUGUUUGUAUUUGUAUAGGCACAAGGUGAAUCUGAUGGCCAAGAAAAUUCUAAGUAAGUUUUAGCAUAGCCUUCCUUUGUUGUUAUUGUCUUGAUCGGUUUUGUGAAGUAGAUGACAAGCGGUGAAAUGAAUGUAACAGGGUUGGUCUUCAGCGUGUUCUUGAAACCCGCAAAGCGGCUUUGUGCAAAGAGCAAGCCAUGGCUUACGCUAGAGCUUUGGUUGUUGGGUUUGAAUUGGACUACAUGGACGAUCUCUUGUCCUUCGCAGAUGCUUUUGGAGCUUCGCGUUUAAGGUUAGUAACUGAAACCAUCCAUGUCCUUGUGUGCAUUUGUAUGAAGAUGGUGAAUAAAUCACUUUUGUGUUGCGUUCAGGGAAGCAUGUGUUAACUUUGUGGACUUGUGCAAGAGAAAGAACGAAGAUAGGAUGUGGGUGGACCAAAUCACGGCAAUGCAAGCCUUUCCCAGGCCUGAGCUAUCCUUCAUGGGUGACUCUGGGAUCAUACUCGCUGGGGAAGAGAAUGAUAUCGUCAAACAAGGGAACAACAUGGAUGCAAUGAGCCAGGGUAGCUUUGAGACUAGCCAAGGUCCUCCUCAGAUGUCAAUCCCCUGGCCAAACCAUUAUCCUCCUCAGUACAUGCAAGGACAUGGCUAUCCUCCUUAUAUGUAUCCCGGCCAGCCACAGUACUUCCCUCAGUGGCCUGUCAACAUGGGAGGAGAUGUGGAGUCAAGUGAGAAGACUUCCAAGAAGAAAAAGAAGAAGAAGAAAAACAAGAAGAAGAAGUAUGAAUCUUCCGAGGAGCAAAGCGAUGAGUCCAGCGCCGAGACUGUAUCAGAGGAGGGGAAUGAAGGGAAGAAAUCAUCUAGAAAAGUUGUUAUACGCAACAUAAACUACAUAACUUCAAAGAGAAACGGAGCCAAGGAUAGCGAUUCUGAUGAGUCUGUAGACGAAGAAGAAGAAGGCUUUGUGGAUGGAGACUCCAUCAAGCAGCAAGUGGAGGAAGCUAUUGGCUCGCUGGAGAAACGGCAUAAAUCGACUUCACGCCGUAGCAGGAGGAAGCACAAAAGUCAUAGUGAAGAUGAGGAGGACUCAGGUAGUAAAGAAACUAAAGGGAAUGAUAACUGGGAUGCCUUCCAAAACCUUCUUUUAAAAGACAAAGAUUCAGACCAGGAAACAGCUUCGUGUCCGUUGAACAUGGAGUCAGAAGUUGUGAGCAAGAGAGAGCUGCCUUCGGAUGAUUCUUUCUUGGUUGCAAAUGGGAAUGAGGAUUGGGGGAGGGAGAGCAGUAUUAAGAAACUUGAUGCCGGUGAGAAUGUUAGGCUGAUGAGAAGAGAGAACAACUAUGACGAUGAUAUGAUGAUGAAUCCUGGUAGAGGAGAUGAAUCAAGAAGCUACUCACAGGCAGAGAUGUCUGUUUAUAGUGGGAAGCUCCGAGCUAGAAAUGAGACGGAGGAAGACUGGUUCAUACGUAACCAAGCAGACACUGAAAGAGAUGUCAAAACCUUUGUAGGAGACGAUUUGCAUGUAACAAAGAGAAGUGGGAGAGAUGUCCUGACUGAUGACUCGUUCAUGAUCCAUUCUCGUGUUGAGAGCCAAGUGGAAGAGUCUCGGUUAAGGACAGAGAUCAUGGACUCUGACGUUUAUGGAACCACCAAACAAGAAAACUCCUCUGCACCGGAGGAGAUUAACAACAGACAAGAGCCGGAUGAUCUUUUCAUGGUUCUUGGACGUGAACAAGAUGUUACACCUGCGAUGGUGUCGUGGACCCCUGAGAUUGACUUCGAGGCUAACGCUUUGGCUGAAGAGAAACGCAAAAACGAUUUGGAAACUGCUGCAAAGGCCUCUGAACAGACUUCAGAUGUUAAAGAAAAGAAACUUCGUGUCGUUAGAAAGGAUGCAAAGACAAGAGCAGCAAGUAGACCUGACCCUGCUUUGAAAGCUAAGAGAGCUCCCUGGGGAAGUAGAGCAGCUGCCACCAAAACCAAAUCCGAGCUGGUAAAUUUCGCUUAACUAACAGCGUUUCAUUUUUCUUGAUUAGUUUCACUCUGGUUCUAUAAAUUGGUACGAAACAAUUUUCUUAAAAUUUAAUUAAUACUAAUCAAAUCGGUUUAAACCAUUUUAAUCGGUUUAAACCAUUUUAAAUCAUUCUAAAUUGGUUUAAACUAUUUUAAAUUGGUUUUAGUAGAACUAAAUUAGUCUAAAUAUGUUAAAUUAAACAAUAAUGUUAGUAUAAAUCCACAAUUUUGUCUUUUUUGUUUUGUUUUGUAUAUAUACUUAUGAUAAUUCAUCAAAAUAAUUUUAUAAUAAAACCAAAAACUAAAAUAUCGUAUAUAAAUGUGAAAUAUAUAUAAAAUAAAUUAAUAAUUCAUCAACGCCUAGAGUUCUGAAUUAAUAAAAUGCUUCUAGUUACAGCCUAACGAUUAACAUUGGUUUCACUUUUUCUCACUUGGAUUUGGUAUUUUGAUAGGAGGAAGAGAGGAAGAAGAGAAUGGAAGAACUUUUAAUUCAGAGGCAAAAGAGAAUCGCUGCGAAGAGUUCUGGCAGUAAUGUAUCAAGUCCCUUGGCCUCCAAGAAAACUCCUACUGGAACCAAAACCGUGAAGACCUCGAAUGACAAGACACCAGCAGAAGCCGUGAAGGCUAAGCCGUUACUGAGAAGUUCCACCAUUGAGCGCCUUGCUGUUGCCAGGACAGCACCAAAGGAGCCACAACAAAAACCAGUAACCAAAAGAACAUCAAAACCUCUAGGAAACAAGACAGAGAAACCUCAAGACAAGAAACCUAGUAGAAAAAGUCCGGGACUUUCUCGUGACCCGAGUCUCGAAAUCAAGGAAACAGUGGAGGAAGAAUCACAGUCUUACUUGCCGGUGAAGCAAGUUGAUGAACUUCCUCCUGCUGCUUCUUCUGUUGAUGACUUCAAAGACAUUAAAGAGAUGCAUAGCUUGCCGAAUGAAACAAUCACCAAUCAUCAGAAAGUAGAAGAUCAGAGGAAGAUUGAUGAUGAGGAGAUAGUGAAGAAGACAUCCGUCUGCGAA